CCCGUCUUGAAACACGGACCAAGGAGUCCAACGUGUGCGCGAGUCGUUGGGCGAUUAAACCCAAUGGCGUAAUUAAGGUGAAGGGAAGUAUUCUUUCCCAGGGAGGAGGGAGGUCCGUCCUAGUGGCGGCCUCUCGCACUCCCGGGGCGUCUCUGGCUCAUCGCGAGCGGAGGCGCACCUAGAGCGUUCACGUUGGGACCCGAAAGAUGGUGAACUAUGCCUGGCCAGGACGAAGCCAGGGGAAACCCUGGUGGAGGUCCGUAGCGGUUCUGACGUGCAAAUCGAUCGUCGGAGCUGGGUAUAGGGGCGAAAGACUAAUCGAACCAUCUAGUAGCUGGUUCCCUCCGAAGUUUCCCUCAGGAUAGCUGGCGCCCAAGUGAGACGAGUCUCAUCUGGUAAAGCGAAUGAUUAGAGGCCUUGGGGUCGAAACGACCUCAACCUAUUCUCAAACUUUAAAUGGAUGAGAACCCCGGCUUGCUUGAUCGAGUGAAGUCGGGGCUCGGAUCCGGGUGCCAAGUGGGCCAAUUUUGGUAAGCAGAACUGGCGCUGUGG
rnacentral:rRNA from 1 species